GACGAACGCUGGCGGCGCGCCUAACACAUGCAAGUCGAACGGAGCUGAGAGAAGCUUGCUUUUCUUAGCUUAGUGGCGAACGGGUGAGUAACGCGUGAGUAACCUGCCCUGGAGUGGGGGACAACAGUUGGAAACGACUGCUAAUACCGCAUAAGCCCACGAUCCGGCAUCGGAUUGAGGGAAAAGGAUUUAUUCGCUUCAGGAUGGACUCGCGUCCAAUUAGCUAGUUGGUGAGGUAACGGCCCACCAAGGCGACGAUUGGUAGCCGGACUGAGAGGUUGACCGGCCACAUUGGGACUGAGACACGGCCCAGACUCCUACGGGAGGCCGCAGUGGGGGAUAUUGCACAAUGGGGGAAACCCUGAUGCAGCGACGCCGCGUGGAGGAAGAAGGUUUUCGGAUUGUAAACUCCUGUCGUUAGGGACGAUAAUGACGGUACCUAACAAGAAAGCACCGGCUAACUACGGGC
rnacentral:rRNA from 1 species